UGAAUCCAAAGUUGCCUUGAUGCACGAGGCAAAGAAACAAAGUCUGACUUUCCCAAAGUCAGACCUCAGGUUGCCACUCAGCAAUACGGAUGACCCUCCCUUAUGACAAGUUGAAAACUGAUAAAUCAUCCAUCCUUGUUUGAGAGGUCACUUCUUUAUAGCAUGCGUAGAGUGGCGAGUGGCAGUGAAAUGCUCAGAAGGGUACCAGGAGGGCUGCUUUCAUGCACGCACCCUGUGGACAUCAUGUUUAUUAACUUCUAUUUUACUUUCAAGGAGAAAAUCGUGCUGGUAAUUAUGUGUCUCUUACUUGUAGGUUCCUGGGAGAUCAUCUGACGGAUAGGAUGCCAAUUAUAUUGACAGAUCCUGCUCCUUGAAUUCCACAGUGGCAUGGCUUAGUCUUGCCCUCUCCCACCUGCUAAGAGAAGAUCAUUAAAGCAGGUGCAGAGACAUCAUCAGGAAAGGAUGAACAUGAAUCACACGUGAGAUUUAAAAAAUUGCAAAGGGAUCUACUGCUGAAAACAUUCUGUCUGAAUUUUCGAUAGAAAGGCCAUAAAAACAGGCAAUAUUUACAUAUAGCAUCUUUGGACCUGUCUAGGUUUGAAGUUCUGUGUGAAGAGAAACACGCACCUGGGAGUCAAUGCUCCAAGGUAUGUAGGUGCUUGCAGGAUAGCACUUGUUAGGUGAAGCCGUCAUUGUUUGGGUUUUGUCUGGGAAGGACAUGUAAUUCUAUGAUUCCAACUGAUCUUGAAGUUGAUUUACUGUAGGAAUAUGUAACUACUCGAUGCCAGGCCUCCUUCAAAGACCAGAAUUGAAGUUUAACUGCACAAGGUACCGUGUAUCAUGGAGCUUAUUUCUACUUUCAGAGAAGAGGUUAUGCUGGAAUGUAAAUCAGCAAGACUUUUAGGGAAGGCUAAGUUCUGAGAAGAGAAUGAAAUAAGAUGCUGUGGCGACGAGCAAUUGCAGUGACCACUGGGUCACAUUGACUGGGAGAUUCUCAUGGAGGCAGAUGUUUCAGCUGCACAAGUUCUGGAGCCCUCUCUCCAGGUCAUUUGUCAAAGAGCCCAGGACAGUCAACAGUGAUCUUGGGUUUCUUUUGUUUAUUUUAGGUAAACUUAGUAUUUCAGAAUAGUUUCAGAUUUAUGGAGGGAAAAUGAAAACAGUUCUGAGUUCCCAUAGUCCUCGCCUGGUUCCCCUACUAUUAACAUCUUAUGUUAAUAUGGUGUAUUUGCCACAACUGAUGAGCCAAUAUUGACAUUCCAACUGAUUAAAGUCCAGAGUUCAUUCCCGAGUUUUUACCUUCUAUCUUUUUUCUUUUCCAAGAUCCUACCUGGGAGAUCACAUUAAAUUCUGUUUUCACAGCUCCCAAAGGACCUAUUAUCUGAAACAGUUUAUCAGAUUUUCUUUUGUUUUAAUAACUUUGAUACAAUUUAGUACUGGUCAGGUAGCUUGUUGAAUGACCCUCAUUCAAAGUGUCUUGUGAUGUUUUUUCAUGAUUACACUGGAGUUAUGUGUUCAGGGAGAAAGGCUACAGAGGGACAGAGCCAUUCUCAUUAUAUCACAUCAAGGGCACACACAGGCAACAGGAGGUGUCAGUGGGUGUGAGCUUGAUCACCCAACUGUACUAGUGUUUUUCAACUUUCUCUGGGAUAGAUGUGCUCUUCUGACCUCCUUUUCUUACUUCUAUUACUUGGAAAGAAAUCACUAUGUACAGCCACAGUGGAGGAUGGAAAGUUACCCUUCCUUCAUUGAAGGUGGAGAAUGUACAUCAGUCACUUGGAAUUUUUC